GUGCUCACUUCAGCAACACACACACUAAUGUUGGAACAAUACAGAAAUUAGCACAGCCCCUGCACAAAGAUGGCAUGCAAAAUCAUGAAGCCAAAAAAAAAUAC